GACGAACGCUGGCGGCGUGCUUAACACAUGCGAGUCGAACGCUGAAGCUCAGCUUUUGUUGGGUGGAUGAGUGGCGAACGGGUGAGUAACACGUGAGUAACCUGCCUCCUUCUUUGGGAUAACGUCCGGAAACGGGUGCUAAUACUGGAUAUUCACUGGUCUUCGCAUGGGGGUUGGUGGAAAGGGUUUUUCUGGUGGGGGAUGGGCUCGCGGCCUAUCAGCUUGUUGGUGGGGUGAUGGCCUACCAAGGCUUUGACGGGUAGCCGGCCUGAGAGGGUGACCGGUCACAUUGGGACUGAGAUACGGCCCAGACUCCUACGGGAGGCAGCAGUGGGGAAUAUUGCACAAUGGGCGCAAGCCUGAUGCAGCGACGCCGCGUGAGGGAUGGAGGCCUUCGGGUUGUGAACCUCUUUCGCUCAUGGUCAAGCCGCAACAAUGGUUGUGGUGAGGGUAGUGGGUAAAGAAGCGCCGGCUAACUACGUG
rnacentral:rRNA from 1 species